GACGAACGCUGGCGGCGUGCUUAACACAUGCAAGUCGAACGGAAAGGCCCUGCUCGCAGGGCACUCGAGUUGCGAACGGGUGAGUAACACGUGGGUGAUCUGCCCUGCACUUCGGGAUAAGCCUGGGAAACUGGCCCUAAUACCGGAUAGGUGCCAUUUUUAGUGUGAUGGUUGGAAAGUUUUUUCGGUGUUUGAUGAGCUCGCGGCCUAUCAGCUUGUUGGUGGGGUAAUUGCCUACCAAGGCGGCGAGGGGUAGCCGGCCUGAGAGGCUGGACGGCCACAUUGGGACUGAGAUACGGCCCAGAUAGCGACGGGAGGCAGCAGGGGGGAAUAUUGCACAAGGGGCGCAGGGCGGGUGCAGCGACGCCGCGUGGCGGAUGACGGCGUUCGGGUUGUAAACUCCUUUCGUUAGGGACGAAGCUUGUUGUGACGGUACCUAGAUAAGAAGCACCGGCUAACUACGUG
rnacentral:rRNA from 1 species